GAUGAACGCUAGCGGCAGGCUUAAUACAUGCAAGUCGAGGGGCAGCAUGACUGUAGCAAUACAGUUGAUGGCGACCGGCAAACGGGUGCGGAACACGUACAGAACCUUCCUUCGAGCGGGGAAUAGCCCAGAGAAAUUUGGAUUAAUACCCCAUAGUAUAUUAGAGUGGCAUCACUUUGAUAUUAAAGAUUUAUCACUUGAAGAUGGCUGUGCGGCUGAUUAGGUAGUUGGCGGGGUAACGGCCCACCAAGCCUUCGAUCAGUAACUGGUGUGAGAGCACGACCAGUCACACGGGCACUGAGACACGGGCCCGACUCCUACGGGAGGCAGCAGUAAGGAAUAUUGGUCAAUGGACGAAAGUCUGAACCAGCCAUGCCGCGUGGAGGAUGAAGGUCCUCUGGAUUGUAAACUUCUUUUAUAUGGGACGAAGAAAGGGUUUUCUAACUCGUCUGACGGUACCAUAUGAAUAAGCACCGGCUAACUCCGUGCCAG
rnacentral:rRNA from 1 species